rnacentral:rRNA from 1 species
CGCAGAAAAGCUAGCCCCCACCUAAAACCCAACAACCCCUAUCAAUAACCCCACACACCCUACAAUUAUAUCAAACAAAACAUUUUUCCCCCUUAGUAUGGGCGACAGAAAAG